UUUGGAAAAUCUGUAAAUACAGCUUGAUAGUUUCGGCACAAAACGCGAUAUUUAUUAAUUUCUCACGAAUUACCGGGAAUUUAAAAAAAUUCAAGUUGAUAGUCUGGUGACUGAUACAGUGCAUGAGUGGUGGGUAGUAUGUGCGAACGCUAGGAUUGCUGGAUGAUUCAUAAGGAUUUAACCUGAAAAUGUCCACACCUACGAACGCUUCAAAAGACAUAAAGUCAAGAUCUCAAUAUUCAGACGAGAUUUUGAAAAAAGCUCUGGAGGCUGUUCAGGCUGGCAGAACGUUGAGCUCAGUGAGCAAAGAGUUCUGUAUUCCCAAAUCAACUCUACAUGAUAAAAUAAUUGGCAAAACAACACCUGAAGUCAUCAAAUCAGUUCCUGGGUGUGUCCUGGGAAAAUUGUAUCAGAAAAAGCUUGUGCAAUGGAUCUUAUACAUGGCCGAUGCUGAAUUCCCUAUCACCAAGGAGCAACUAUUUAAUUCUGUCCAAAAAGUAGUGAAAUCUUUGGGCAAAAAGAGUGCUUUUAUUAAUGGUCGCCCUAGUAAACAUUGGUACAAGUUUUUCAAACGACGUAACCCUGAAAUACGUGAGUGUCGGAGAACAUUAUGUGCACUAGAGCUGACAUCACUGAAGAAAUAAUGCGCCAGUAGUUUGAUCAUACGAGGAAAUAUUUAACUUCGAAAAAUCUACUGGAUAUUGAUGGCUCCAGGCUUUUUAAUUACAAUGAGUCAGGAUUUAAUUUGUGUCCAAAGGGUAAAAAGUGCUAAUGAAACGAGGAGAUCAUUAUGCAUAUAAUAAGGUGAAGAAUCAUGAGGAGGAGUGCCUCACGAUCUUGUUUUGUGGGAAUGCUGUUGGCCAGUGCGUAUCAUAGAUGAUUAUGUACAGGUACCUUAGGAUACCUGCUGUUGUCGCAUCUCUCCCACCUAAAGAAUACACCAUUGGUCGUUCAGACACAGGGUGGAUGACCCCGACCUCAUUUCUCGAAAGAGAACUGAUAGAUGAUAAAAGUGUUGCGUCAAGAUAUCAACAGCCCUCCAGCCAAAAUUGCUUCUAGAGGAGGAUAAGAUGGAAUCGCAAUUAUUUCUUAUUUGUACCUGAUUAUUGGUUAAUAGUCAUUUUUUAUUUUUAAACAGUUUAUCGUUGAUGGGAAAAUAAUAAAAUUAUCUUAAAUAUGUUAUGCAUAA